GAUGAACGCUGGCGGCGUGCUUAACACAUGCAAGUCGAACGGUGAAGCAGGAGCUUGCUCCUGUGGAUCAGUGGCGAACGGGUGAGUAACACGUGAGCAAUCUGCCCUGGACUCUGGGAUAAGCGUUGGAAACGACGUCUAAUACCGGAUACGAGGCGUGGGGGCAUCCCCAACGCCUGGAAAGAACUUCGGUCCAGGAUGAGCCCGCGGCCUAUCAGGUAGUUGGUGAGGUAACGGCUCACCAAGCCUACGACGGGUAGCCGGCCUGAGAGGGUGACCGGCCACACUGGGACUGAGCCACGGCCCAGACUCCUACGGGAGGCAGCAGUGGGGAAUAUUGCACAAUGGGCGCAAGCCUGAUGCAGCAACGCCGCGUGAGGGACGACGGCCUUCGGGUUGUAAACCUCUUUUAGCAGGGAAGAAGCGAAAGUGACGGUACCUGCAGAAAAAGCACCGGCUAACUACGUGCCAGCCGCCGCAGUAAGAC
rnacentral:rRNA from 1 species